rnacentral:tRNA from 1 species
GUCAGGAUGGCCGAGCGGUCUAAGGCGCUGCGUUCAGGUCGCAGCUCCACUGGAGGCGUGGUUCGAAUCCCACUUCUGACA